UUUUUUUUUUUUUGCUUUUUUUGCUUUUUUUGCUUUUUAGGGUCACACCCGUGUCUUAAGGAAGUUCCCAGGCUAGGGGUGGAAUCGGAGCUACAGCUGCUGGCCUAUACCACAGCCCCAGCAACGAGGGAUUCAAGCCACAUCUGCACCCUAUACCACAGCUCACAGCCAUGCCAGAUCCAACCCACUGAGCAAGGCAAGGGAUCAAACCCUCAUCUUCAUGGAUGCUAGUCGGGCUUGUUACUGCUGAGCCACAAUGGGAACUUCUAUGAGCCUGUUUCUGUUGGAUUUCUUUGUUCAUUUGUUUUGUUUUUUAGAUUCCACAUAUCAGUGAAAUCAUAAAGUAUUUAUCUUUCUCUGUCUGACUUAUCUCACUUAGCAUAACUUCCUCAAGGUCCAUCCAUUGUUGUCCCAUGUGGCAAGAUUUUAUUCAUUUUAUGACUGAGUAAUAUUCCAUUGCAUAAAUAUACCAUAUUUUCUUUAUCCAUCUAUUGAUGGACACUUGAGCUGCUUCCAAAUCUUGGCUAUUGCAAAUAAUGCUUCAAUCAACAUAUGGGUCCAUAUAUAUCCUUUCAAAUUAUUGUUUCCAUUUCCUAUAGAUAAAUACCCAGAAGUGAAACUGAUGGAUCAUGUGGUAGUUCUAUUUUCAAUUUUUUUUUUUUUUUUUCCUAUUUCUUUGGGCCGCUCCCGCGGCAUAUGGAGGUUUAUAUAGAGUAUCACAUCAUCUGCAAAUAGUGACAGUUUUACUUCAUUUCCAAUUUGGUUGCCUUUUAUCUCUUUUUCAUGUCUGACUGCUGUGGCUAGGACUUCCAAUACUGUGUUGAAUAGAAGUGGCAAGAGUAUCCUGUCUUGUUCCUGAUCUCUGAUAAAAAGCCUUAAGCUUUUCACCAGCAAGUAUUAUGUUAGCUGUGAGUUUGUCAUAUGUGCCUUUAUUACAUUAAGGUGUGUUCUCUUUAUGCUCACUUUGUUAACAGUUUUUAUCAUAAAUGGAUGUUGAAUUUUGUCAAAGGCUUUUCCCACAUCUACAGAGAUGAUAUGAUGUUUUUCAUUUCCUUUUAAAAUUUUAUUUAUUUAUUUUUAUUGAACUAUAGUCAAUUUACAAUACUGUGUUAGUUUCAGGUGUACAGCACAAUAAUUCGGGUUUUUUGUAGAAUAUAUUCCUUUAUAAGUUAUUACAAGAUAUUGGGUAUAAUUCUCUGUGCAAUACAUAAAUCCUUGUUGCUUAUCUAUUUUAUGUAGAGCAGUUUGUAUCUAUUAAUCUCAUACUUCUAAGUUGUCUCUCUCUCUUACCUUUGGUAACCAUAAGUUUGUUUCCUACAUCUGUCUUUUUCUGUUUUGUAUAUAUAAUCAUCUGCAUUAUUUUUCAGAUUCCAUAUAUAAGUGAUAUCAUACAGUAUUUUAAACUUUAUAAAGCAUAAUAUUCUCUAAGUUCAUCCAUGUUGCUCCAAAUGGCAAUAUUUGGUUCUUUCAUGGUUGAAAAUAUUCCAUUAUAUUUACAUAUAUAUACAUGUGUACAAAUAUAAUGGAAUAUUAUAUAUUUAUUAUUAUUAUGUUUUUUGUUUGUUUUUUUAGGGCCACACCUGUGACAUGUGGAAGUUCCCAGUCUAGGGGUUGAAUUGGAGCUGCAGCUUUUGGCCUAUGCCACAGCCACAGCAACACCAGAUCCGAGCCACAUCUGCAACCUACACCACAGCUCACAGCAAUGCCAGAUCCUUUAACCCACUGGGAAAGGCCAGGGAUCAAACCUGCAUCCUCAUGGAUACUAGUCGAGUUCUUGACCCACAGAGCCACAGUAGGAACUCCUCUAUAUAUUAUUGAUUCAACUUCAUUACUAAUAAUCAGUCUGUUCAGAUUUCCUCCUGAUUAAGUCUUGGAAGACUGAAUGUUUCUGGGAAUUGAUCCAUUUCUCUUAGGGUGUCCAGUCUGUUCGGACAUAGUUGUUCAGAAUAAUCUCUUAAGGUCCUUGAUAUUUCUGUGGUGUUGGUUAUAACUUCUCUUUCAUUUCUGAUUUUUUUUUUUUUGUCUUUUUUUUAGGGCCACAGAACAAAGGGAAUUUUCACCCACUCACAGGUUCUUCUCU
rnacentral:lncRNA from 1 species